UUCAGGAGCCGUAUGUCAAGAACUGAAGGAAAAAAACAAAUAGAUAUUUCUUCUUAUAUUACAACAGUACAGAUAUUCAACAAGGGCAGUCCUGAACAAAAUUUUAAAAAAUAUAUCUGAAAAUACAAAGAACCAAGAAUAGUGAAGAUACCAUUAGAGAAGAAUAACAGAGCUAAUGAACUUUUCUUAAUCAUGAGAUUUGUCAUCAAGGGUAUAAAGUUGGAAAACAUUAUAGAAAAACUACUUUUUGUUUUUGAUUGUGAAAAUCUCUACUGACAUAGAAGGCAUGGCAACAUGAUCAAUCAGUUGCACAAUUGGGCUCUAGGAAUGAGUUAAUGAGUGUGGAAAGUCUGACAAUAGGGAAGGAAAAGCAGAGAAUAUUCAAGAAAGCAAGCCACUGGAAGAGAUGGUAGGGAAGGCAGAGAUAAGAAAAUGAGGUGUUGAUGGAUUAGGACAUUCCUCUCUGGCUGAUUCCUGAUUAAAUUUGGACAAAGGACCUGACAGCUGUCAUGUCUCUGUUUCCC